rnacentral:lncRNA from 1 species
UACGGAAGGAAGGAUAAACACUUUCUGCUUAAGGGGCUGACUCUAUAUGGGGAGAUCAGGCACCGACAUCUGCUUGGGGAAAUGUAUUUUUAUCCACGAGGAUAUAACUCGGUGGGGAAUACGGAAGGAAGGAUAAACACUUUCUGCUUAAGGGGCUGACUCUAUAUGGGGAGAUCAGGCACCGACAUCUGCUUGGGGAAAUGUAUUACCAACUAGUAGGGGAUAACAAACAAAGAUAUAUGGAAAAGAAUGCAAUCAUGAAUAUCUGAAUGCUAUCAUUAUGCAUAUAUGCAUGGUUUAUGUAUGAUGAAUGCUGACAAACAGACAUUUCUAACACAAACAGGGUCCAAAGAAUAAGUACACAAACAUCCGGUACUACGUCUC